UCCUUCCGGCGUGCCGUAAACGCAACAACCCCGACGACGGAAGUGGCCCGCUGCGAACCGCAGGGUCGGUCAGGAACGUAAGGAGGGGAGGAGACUGCGCAACCUGAGGAGAGGCCUGGGAAGAGGAGGUAAUCUGGCGUAGGAAGCAAGCCCGCAGAGGGAAUAAUUCUGUGGUAUGCGGAAGCCAUAGAAAGCCUCAGAAAGAUUCUCAAGCUCCAGUGUGGCCCCACAAAAGCAAAAUGAUGAGGGUAUCUACCAAGCAAGACACUGAUACCGAGAAGAGAACCUCCAAAUCUGAAGGAGCCCUGUGUACAGGAAUGAGGAGAGGAGAUUGGGAAAAAGAACACCAGAACCUGGAUCCGCAGAUAAUAAAACACAUGAUAAUCAUGGUAAGCCAGA